rnacentral:rRNA from 1 species
UACGGGGGAUGCAAGCGUUAUCCGGAAUCAUUGGGCGUAAAGCGCCUGUAGGUUGUUUAAUAAGUCUGUUGUUAAAGACUAGGGCUUAACCCUAGAAAAGCAAUGGAAACUACUAGACUAGAGUAUGGCAGGGGUAGAGGGAAUUUCUAGUGUAGCGGUGAAAUGCGUAGAUAUUAGAAAGAACACCGGUGGCGAAAGCGCUCUACUGGACCAUUACUGACACUCAGAGGCGAAAGCUAGGGUAGCAAAAGGGAUUAGAUACCCCUGUAGUCCUAGCCGUAAACGAUGGAUACUAGAUGUUGUGCAUAAUGUACAGUAUCGUAGCUAACGCGUUAAGUAUCCCGCCUGGGGAGUACGCUCGCAAGGGUG